UACGAAGGGGGCUAGCGUUGCUCGGAAUCACUGGGCGUAAAGGGUGCGUAGGCGGGUCUUUAAGUCAGGGGUGAAAUCCUGGAGCUCAACUCCAGAACUGCCUUUGAUACUGAGGAUCUUGAGUUCGGGAGAGGUGAGUGGAACUGCGAGUGUAGAGGUGAAAUUCGUAGAUAUUCGCAAGAACACCAGUGGCGAAGGCGGCUCACUGGCCCGAUACUGACGCCGAGGCGCGAAAGCCAGGGGAGCGAACGGG
rnacentral:rRNA from 1 species